UACGGAGGGUGCAAGCGUUGCUCGGAAUUAUUGGGCGUAAAGCGCACGUAGGCGGUCUAGCAAGUCGGGUGUGAAAGCCCUCAGCUUAACUGAGGAAGUGCAUUCGAAACUACUAGGCUUGAGUACUGAAGAGGAUGACGGAAUUCCCGAUGUAGAGGUGAAAUUCGUAGAUAUCGGGAGGAACACCAGUGGCGAAGGCGGUCGUCUGGGCAGAUACUGACGCUGAGGUGCGAAAGCGUGGGGAGCAAACAGG
rnacentral:rRNA from 1 species